UUCAGCAGCCCUGGAAUCUGAAAUCCUUUAUUUAUCCAUCUAACAAGAAUAGCACAGACAGCAGCAGUUGGUUCUCCCCAACACUGUCUCCCAUGAGCCUAACCCAGCCCUGACCUCUCGGAACAGGCAGGAGUGCGGCUGGGACACUUAAGCUGGGACUCGGUGCUGAAUGAAGCAUUCGCCCAU
rnacentral:sRNA from 1 species